GGGGUUGUGGCUCAGGGGUAGAGCACUCGCCUACCAUGUGUGAGGCACUGGGUUCAAUCCUCAGCACCA
rnacentral:tRNA from 1 species